rnacentral:rRNA from 1 species
AACGAACGCUGGCGGCGCGCCUAACACAUGCAAGUCGAACGAGAAGGCGUAGCAAUACGCUUGUAAAGUGGCGAACGGGUGAGGAAUACGUGGGUAACCUACCCUCGAGUGGGGAAUAACCAACCGAAAGGUUGGCUAAUGCCGCGUACGCUUCCAUCUCUUCGGAGGUGGAAGGAAAGCUGUACCGUGGGUACAGCGCUCAAGGAUGGGCUCACGUCCUAUCAGCUUGUUGGUAGGGUAACGGCCUACCAAGGCAACGACGGGUAGCUGGUCUGAGAGGACGAUCAGCCACACUGGCACUGCGACACGGGCCAGACUCCUACGGGAGGCAGCAGUGAGGAAUAUUGCGCAAUGGGCGAAAGCCUGACGCAGCGACGCCGCGUGGGGGA